GACGAACGCUGGCGGCGUGCUUAACACAUGCAAGUCGAACGGAAAGGCCCUGCUUUUGUGGGGUGCUCGAGUGGCGAACGGGUGAGUAACACGUGAGUAACCUGCCCUUGACUUUGGGAUAACUUCAGGAAACUGGGGCUAAUACCGGAUAGGAGCUCCUGCUGCAUGGUGGGGGUUGGAAAGUUUCGGCGGUUGGGGAUGGACUCGCGGCUUAUCAGCUUGUUGGUGGGGUAGUGGCUCACCAAGGCUUUGACGGGUAGCCGGCCUGAGAGGGUGACCGGCCACAUUGGGACUGAGAUACGGCCCAGACUCCUACGGGAGGCGGCAGUGGGGAAUAUUGCACAAUGGGCGGAAGCCUGAUGCAGCAACGCCGCGUGCGGGAUGACGGCCUUCGGGUUGUAAACCGCUUUCGCCUGUGACGAAGCGUGAGUGACGGUAAUGGGUAAAGAAGCACCGGCUAACUACGUG
rnacentral:rRNA from 1 species